AUACGUAGGGGGCGAGCGUUGUCCGGAAUGAUUGGGCGUAAAGGGCGCGUAGGCGGCCCGGUAAGUCUGGAGUGAAAGUCCUGUUUUUAAGAUGGGAAUUGCUUUGGAUACUGUCGGGCUUGAGUGCAGGAGAGGUAAGUGGAAUUCCCAGUGUAGCGGUGAAAUGCGUAGAGAUUGGGAGGAACACCAGUGGCGAAGGCGACUUACUGGACUGUAACUGACGCUGAGGCGCGAAAGUGUGGGGAGCAAACAGGAUUAGACACCCUGGUAGUCCACACUGUAAACGAUGAAUGCUAGGUGUAGGGGGUAUCGACCCCUUCUGUGCCGCAGUCAACACAAUAAGCAUUCCGCCUGGGGAGUACGGCCGCAAGGUUGAAACUCAAAUGAAUUGACGGGG
rnacentral:rRNA from 1 species